UUUAUGGAGAGUUUGAUCCUGGCUCAGGAUGAACGCUGGCGGCGUGCCUAAUACAUGCAAGUCGAGCGAACGGACGAGAAGCUUGCUUCUCUGAUGUUAGCGGCGGACGGGUGAGUAACACGUGGAUAACCUACCUAUAAGACUGGGAUAACUUCGGGAAACCGGAGCUAAUACCGGAUAAUAUUUUGAACCGCAUGGUUCAAAAGUGAAAGACGGUCUUGCUGUCACUUAUAGAUGGAUCCGCGCUGCAUUAGCUAGUUGGUAAGGUAACGGCUUACCAAGGCAACGAUGCAUAGCCGACCUGAGAGGGUGAUCGGCCACACUGGAACUGAGACACGGUCCAGACUCCUACGGGAGGCAGCAGUAGGGAAUCUUCCGCAAUGGGCGAAAGCCUGACGGAGCAACGCCGCGUGAGUGAUGAAGGUCUUCGGAUCGUAAAACUCUGUUAUUAGGGAAGAACAUAUGUGUAAGUAACUGUGCACAUCUUGACGGUACCUAAUCAGAAAGCCACGGCUAACUACGUGCCAGCAGCCGCGGUAAUACGUAGGUGGCAAGCGUUAUCCGGAAUUAUUGGGCGUAAAGCGCGCGUAGGCGGUUUUUUAAGUCUGAUGUGAAAGCCCACGGCUCAACCGUGGAGGGUCAUUGGAAACUGGAAAACUUGAGUGCAGAAGAGGAAAGUGGAAUUCCAUGUGUAGCGGUGAAAUGCGCAGAGAUAUGGAGGAACACCAGUGGCGAAGGCGACUUUCUGGUCUGUAACUGACGCUGAUGUGCGAAAGCGUGGGGAUCAAACAGGAUUAGAUACCCUGGUAGUCCACGCCGUAAACGAUGAGUGCUAAGUGUUAGGGGGUUUCCGCCCCUUAGUGCUGCAGCUAACGCAUUAAGCACUCCGCCUGGGGAGUACGACCGCAAGGUUGAAACUCAAAGGAAUUGACGGGGACCCGCACAAGCGGUGGAGCAUGUGGUUUAAUUCGAAGCAACGCGAAGAACCUUACCAAAUCUUGACAUCCUUUGACAACUCUAGAGAUAGAGCCUUCCCCUUCGGGGGACAAAGUGACAGGUGGUGCAUGGUUGUCGUCAGCUCGUGUCGUGAGAUGUUGGGUUAAGUCCCGCAACGAGCGCAACCCUUAAGCUUAGUUGCCAUCAUUAAGUUGGGCACUCUAAGUUGACUGCCGGUGACAAACCGGAGGAAGGUGGGGAUGACGUCAAAUCAUCAUGCCCCUUAUGAUUUGGGCUACACACGUGCUACAAUGGACAAUACAAAGGGCAGCGAAACCGCGAGGUCAAGCAAAUCCCAUAAAGUUGUUCUCAGUUCGGAUUGUAGUCUGCAACUCGACUACAUGAAGCUGGAAUCGCUAGUAAUCGUAGAUCAGCAUGCUACGGUGAAUACGUUCCCGGGUCUUGUACACACCGCCCGUCACACCACGAGAGUUUGUAACACCCGAAGCCGGUGGAGUAACCUUUUAGGAGCUAGCCGUCGAAGGUGGGACAAAUGAUUGGGGUGAAGUCGUAACAAGGUAGCCGUAU
rnacentral:rRNA from 1 species